rnacentral:rRNA from 1 species
CCUCCGGGUGGCUGCAGUGGGGCAUUUUGGACAAUGGGCGAAAGCCUGAUCCAGCCAUGCCGCGUGCAGGAUGAAGGCCUUCGGGUUGUAAACUGCUUUUGUACGGAACGAAACGGCCUUUUCUAAUAAAGAGGGCCAAUGACGGUACCGUAAGAAUAAGCACCGGCUAACUACGUGCCAGCAGCCGCGGGAAUACGUAGGGUGCAAGCGUUAAUCGGAAUUACUGGGCGAAAAGCGUGCGCAGUCGGUUAUGUAAGACAGUUCUGAAAGCUCCGGGCUCCAGCUGGGAACUGCAUCUGUGACUGCAUAGCUAGAGUACGGUAGAGGGGGAGGGAAUUCCGCGUGUAGCAGUGAAAUGCGUAGAUAUGCGGAGGAACACCGAUGGCGAAGGCAAUCCCCUGGACUGUAACUGACGCUGAGGCACGAAAGCGUGGGGAGCGAACAGGAUUAGAUACCCUAGUAGUC